AGUAACGACGUGAGGAACCUAGCCUUCCAGAGGGGGACGAACAGUUGGUAAACGAACUGCUAAUACCGCAUGAUGUGGUUUCGUAUGGCAUCAUCGAGACACCAAAGAUUUAUCGCUGGAAGAUGGCCUCGCGUCUGAUUAGCUAGUAGGCGGGGUAACAGCCCACCAAGGCGACGAUCAGUAGCCGGCCUGAGAGGGUGAACGGCCACAUUGGGACUGAGACACGGCCCAAACUCCUACGGGAGGCAGCAG
rnacentral:rRNA from 1 species